UCUAGAGCUAAUACAUGCGAAAAAAUCUUUCAAGGUGAGCAAUCAUUUUGAAGGUGAUGCAUUUAUUAGAUUAAACCAAUCAUUGUAUCAGUAGUUUACUCUAUUGAUGCAUUGUUGUGGUGAGUCUGGAUAACUGUGCCGAUCGUAUGGCCUAGAGCCGGCGACAUUUCGAUUAAAUUUCUGCCCUAUCAACUUGUUGGUAAGGUAGUGGCUUACCAAGGUGAUUACGGGUAACGGGGAAUCAGGGUUCGAUUCCGGAGAGGGAGCCUGAGAAACGGCUACCACAUCCAAGGACGGCAGCAGGCGCGCAAAUUACCCAAUCCAGACACUGGGAGGUGGUGACGAGAAAUACCAGGUCGUUCCCAAAAGGAUUCGACACUGGAAUGAGUGCAAUUUAAAAAUUUCAACGAGUAACAACUGGAGGGCAAGUCUGGUGCCAGCAGCCGCGGUAAUUCCAGCUCCAGUAGUGUAUCCAAACGUUGCUGCGGUUAAAACGCUCGUAGUUGGACAAGAGAGUAGCUUGGUGCGGGCGGGGAGUGUAAUUGCUCUAUGUGUUUACUUGUUUAGAAAGUUGUCCUUGUCUUUCGAAAGUUAGCAAGGUGCAACUGACUUUUCAUGCUUAACCAUAGUAGUAGCGCUUGUCGACCAUGCUGCCAGGCUACUUGUAAUGUUUCGUGAGAAUGGUACAUGGUCUUCAUUGUACUGUGUAUUAUGUCUUACGUAGUGUGCCUUGAAUAAAUCAGAGUGCUCAAAGCAAGCUAUCGCUUGAAUGUUAAUAGCAUGGAACGAAUGUAUAGUGUAAGUGCGCUAGUAAGCAUCAUUCGUGGUGUUUGCUAGUACACAGCACCAACCGCGAAGCGGAACAUUGGUUACCGACUUCGGGUGAGGAUUAAAAGGGGCAUUUGGGGGCAUUAGUAUU
rnacentral:rRNA from 1 species